CGGUGGAAUGCGCAGAUAUCAGGAGGAACACCGAUGGCGAAGGCAGAUCUCUGGGCCGUAACUGACGCUGAGGAGCGAAAGCAUGGGGAGCGAACAGGAUUAGAUACCCUGGUAGUCCAUGCCGUAAACGUUGGGCGCUAGAUGUAGGGACCUUUCCACGGUUUCUGUGUCGUAGCUAACGCAUUAAGCGCCCCGCCUGGGGAGUACGGCCGCAAGGCUAAAACUCAAAGGAAUUGACGGGGGCCCGCACAAGCGGCGGAGCAUGCGGAUUAAUUCGAUGCAACGCGAAGAACCUUACCAAGGCUUGACAUACACCGGAAACGGCCAGAGAUGGUCGCCCCCUUGUGGUCGGUGUACAGGUGGUGCAUGGUUGUCGUCAGCUCGUGUCGUGAGAUGUUGGGUUAAGUCCCGCAACGAGCGCAACCCUCGUUCUAUGUUGCCAGCGGGUUAUGCCGGGGACUCAUAGGAGACUGCCGGGGUCAACUCGGAGGAAGGUGGGGAUGACGUCAAAUCAUCAUGCCCCUUAUGUCUUGGGCUUCACGCAUGCUACAAUGGCCGGUACAAAGGGCUGCGAUACCGUAAGGUGGAGCGAAUCCCAAAAAGCCGGUCUCAGUUCGGAUUGAGGUCUGCAACUCGACCUCAUGAAGUCGGAGUCGCUAGUAAUCGCAGAUCAGCAACGCUGCGGUGAAUACGUUCCCGGGCCUUGUACACACCGCCCGUCAAG
rnacentral:rRNA from 1 species